AACAAUCCCUUUGACAAGAACAGAACUGGUAAGCAUCCACCAACUAUUCACUGAUGUGUAAUAAGUCAUCAGUAAUCGCAUCCUGUCACAGGUAAGUCUGACAUCAUUGCCUUUGCACACACAUGUUUUGCUGUACAGAAAGUUUUAUGGAGUCUAAGAAGAGAGAAGAAGAUUCAUAUGGUGGAAAGCCAUGCUAUGAAGAUUCUUUGCAAGCUCUUACAGCAGACUCAUAUCAGUAUCUUUUUCUUCCUUCUCACCGCAGUGGAAUCAGUUUACCUUGUGCUUCAAGUGAUCCAGCAGGAAGUAGGAGGGUUGCAGAAGCAGCAAAUCCUUCCCCGGCCUUGGGUUCCUUCGGCCAGCUUGCAAGUGCUGAUGCACUGCCUGCUGGUUCUUUC
rnacentral:lncRNA from 1 species